UUCGCAAUGCCCGAAAGGGUGACGAAGCGACGCCGCGUGCGGGAAGAAGGCCUUCGGGUUGUAAACCGCUGUCGGGAGUUAAGAAAUGCAAGGAUGUUAAUAGCGUUCUUGCUUGACUAAGGCUCCGGAGGAAGCCACGGCUAACUCUGUGCCAGCAGCCGCGGUAAUACAGAGGCGGCAAGCGUUGUUCGGAAUUAUUGGGCGUAAAGAGCACGUAGGCGGCUAUGUAAGUCGGUUGUGAAAGCCUUCCGCUCAACGGAAGAACAGCAUCCGAUACUGCAUGGCUCGAGUGCGGGAGGGGAGAGUGGAACUUCUGGUGGAGCGGUGAAAUGCGUAGAUAUCAGAAGGAACGCCGGCGGCGAAAGCGACUCUCUGGCCCGUAACUGACGCUGAGUGUGCGAAAGCUAGGGGAGCAAACGGGAUUAGAUACCCCGGUAGUCCUAGCCGUAAACGAUGGGCACUAAGUAGAGGGGUUUU
rnacentral:rRNA from 1 species